UCAGGUNACACAUGCAAGUCGAGCGGUAGCACAGAGAGCUUGCUCUUGGGUGNAGCGGGGACGGGUGAGUAACGCGUAGAAAUCUGCCUGGUAGGGGGAUAGCCAGGAGAAAUCCGGUAAUACCGAAUGUGCUGUUUGGAGGAAAGCGGGGGAUCUUAAGACCUCGCGCUUCCAGANGAGUAAAGNUAGGAUUAGNUAGAGGUGGGGUAAUGGGUCAACAAGGCGACGAUCGUUUAGGUGGUNCAGAGGAUGAUCAGCCACAUNGGNGAGAGACACGGCCCAGUCNUACGGGAGGCAGCAGUGGGGAAUUGGACAANGCGGCCAAGCGGAAUCCANCCAAUGGGCGCAAGUGAAGAAGGCCUCGGUUGUAAAGCAAUUUCAGCGGUGAGGAAGGAAAGNUUGUUCANAGCGNANACANUGACANCCA
rnacentral:rRNA from 1 species